rnacentral:lncRNA from 1 species
GUACCAUUAGUGUCUUACAGGAUACGUGAGUUGGUCAGCAAAUACAUGUGCUUUCCAUUGUUACGGGCGCGGUGGUGCAGGGGCAAAUCGGGACUGGGAUUUGGUCCUUACCCUUAACGUGGCUCUAAGACCAGAAGGGAACACCUGACUUGUGUUGACCUCUUCAGUUAGCUGCAGCUGAACCAGUCGUACGAGAGGGGCUGAAGCACAUUAGUGAAGGAUGUGUGUUCAUCUACUGCCAAGUAGGAGAAAAGCCUUAUUGGAAAGAUCCAAAUAAUGACUUCAGAAAAAACUUGAAAGUAACAGCAGUGCCUACACUACUUAAGUAUGGAACACCUCAAAAACUGGUAGAAUCUGAGUGUCUUCAGGCCAACCUGGUGGAAAUGUUGUUCUCUGAAGAUUAAGAUUUUAGGAUGGCAAUCAUGUCUUGAUGUCCUGAUUUGUUCUAGUAUCAAUAAACUGUAUACUUGCUUUGAAUUCAUGUUAGCAAUAAAUGAUGUUAAAA